UGCGUAAUUAAGCUGCCUCGUCCGAGACGGUUUGAAUUCAUAUUUCAUUGCAGGUUAAGUUGUAUCGAAUAUCUCAGUUUUUUUAGUCCAAUACAUUUUAAAUAUUAUAUUUAAUAUUAUUUGUUGUGUACACUGUUGCAGCCGAGCACAAGCUAACGUUAGCUAGCUAUCUUGCUAGCUAACGUUAGCUAACGUUAUUUAACUUGCUAGCUAAAACUGCUAACAGCAUGGACGAACUUGAUGACGUCACGGUGUCGACUUUAAGAGGUAACGUAGUCAAAUAUACAUUUUUAACGUGGUUAUUAAUUUUUCGUCAUAUUUAUUAUGCACCAGUAACACCAAGAAAAAUCCCUUUUAAGUAAAAACCUACUUUGCAAUACUUAUGAUUCAUCAGAGAGGUUAAGAUCAGCUACAUUUAAACAGAUUAAGACUCGCAGUCCUCUCUAUAAAAUCGGUAGUAACUCUUAAUUCUGAACAGAUUUGAAUGGAAUGGUUUUAUUAUAAAUUGGAUAAAUUUAACUUUAUACUGGUUACGUGUUUCAAUUAAAUCCAGUUACUGGGGUGGAUCUACUCUGUUCUAUUAUACUAAAACAUUCGGAAUAACCACAACUUAAAAUAUAAAUUAUUUAGAAUGUAUGCUUUUAUGAGUUUCUAAAAAAUGUAGAUUGCUAUAUACAUUCAGUAAAUUUGAAUUAAAAUUGCUUCAGAAUUAAGAGAGUUACGACUGAUUAAAAUGUUUAAUUUACCACUCUGAUGUGAUGCAUAAUCCACUGAGGUAUGUCAUUUCUUUAUCUAUUGUUAUAUCAUGUGUAUUUACAUUUUUUGAUGAUGAAGUUCAUUCAUUUUCUGCUUGUUUAGUAAGUAUUUAUUUAACACCAUAAGGCAAUCACUAAACCUACCUUCAUUAUCACUAAAAGGAGAAUAUUAACACAAACUAUUUAGGAUUAUUGUUAUAACCUUAGUGGAGUUGUCAAUGCUGCAUCACAAUUUGUGUUAAGACAGUAUAAAUUAAAAGUUGCUUUUACAAAUACUUAAUUAUCUUUUAUUUUACAGGAAACUGUAGACUCAAAAUCAACGAGCAGUUCUACUUCUAUGAUUGGGUCACCCCUAUCUCAGACAUCCACUCAAGUAAAAAGAUGUCCCGCAAAGCACACAACACCUGAAAAUGUUGUGAAGUUAUCCUUCCCCGAAUAUGUAUUGCACACUGACACCAAACUAGAGCAAUGCCGAAAACAAUAUUUUGAGUUGGCGAAGGCCGGCGAAGAGAGAAACUGCCAAAUGUCAAAGGACCUCAGAUGUCGGCUCAUCCGAAACACCAUGACCAGUAUGAUCGCAAUCCUGAGGGCAACGGGGGACAGAGACAGAUACCCGUCAAAGCCAGAAAUAACAGCUAUGGCAAAGCGAACAGUGCUGUACUACCCCAUGCUGCAGGACCGAGACCUGAGCAGCAAGUAUGCAUGGGUAGGUCAAAUGCAUCCAGGUGCAUGUUUGAUGUUUGAAGCAUUUAUUUGAAUUUUUCUUGUCACAGGUUACUGUGUACUCACAGCUAUACAAAAGAUUGAAAAAUUUGAGAUCACCCCAAAAGACCAAUCCAAAGAGGCGCCGACUCGAGGAGCUAAAGUGCCAACCUGACUGACCCAGAUGAAUUUGAUUCAAGUGACUCAACAGUCAUUCUGGAUCUCCCCUCAAAAGGGGGUAGCAUUCAAGCAUUCAAGACUUCCCUUCUGAAGGGAGUAGCACCCCAGACUCGGGCAACAAUGCCAGAUAUGCCCGCAUCUUUGCGUAAGAAGAAAACUCCAAACCGUGAGUCCGUCUCUCAGCUCCUGGAUUUGGAAUUUUCAGCCAGAAGAGCAUUCAUUGAUUCUUUUUGCGAGGAGGACAGACACAAGAAAAUUCCAGAGGACAUUGGACAUGUGAUGGAGGAGCUUCAACGCAUUCUGGACAAAAAUAACAUCCAUUACAUUGAUGAGCUGAAGGGAAGAUGGGACGACUUCUGCCAGAAGGUGCAGUUUUUUGGUGUGUGGAAAAAGCUGCUGAAACCCUCAGUAGGAAUGGACAAAGGCUCUCAGUAUCCUACGUGUGCUGCCUUCAUUGUCCCCCUCUUCAUCUGCUCCUCUGAAGAAGUUAGGACAUGUGAGUGAGGCUCUUGUGCAUGUCCUCGAGGUAAGCAAAAUGAAUGCACUACUUGGUUAAUAGUUUUUAUUGACCUAGUGAAGACCUAAAAAGACUGGCCUAGCCCAACAAAUGUAAAUACAUUUAUAUAGAUUCAAAUACAGUGUGUUAAGCAACACAAUGUUUUGCAGUAGACCCACAGACACAUUCUGAUAUUCUUUAUAUCUGUGGUUCUAAAGCUUCUUAGACAGUGUGCCACCUCAGUAAAUAUUGGACUCCUCAAGUACCACUAAAAUCACUGAUGUAAAAGAAAACCAUAGCUCCUCCUCUGAAUUUUUCUUUAUCCUGAUGGAAAGAUGUCCAUUUUAUGUGUUUAAGGAAAAAGAAGACCCCAAUGACUAUUUGAAGAAACGUCGUCUCUCCUGCCCAGUCCUUAUUGUGAGUUUGUCCAACUGCCUCCUGGCUGUAGGAGAUGUGCUGAUAACUACGCUCCCAAAAGACAAGGUAACACAGGGUGUUUUAUACCUUACGGCCUACUAUUAUGCUCUACACCUUACUUACCCCAGGUGCGUAGCCACUCUGCUCUCUGUCAUAAAAACGGAGGUUCUCUUGGACACAAUCCAUGAGCGAGACCUCACACCAUCUUUCAAGAAGGGCAUGGCUGACUGGAAAGCCUUUGUUGGCAAGUAAAGCCGUUUCCAUUCUUAUUUAGCAAAUGUUUCCCAAUGUUAAGGUCGCAAUAAUAACAAUGUUGUUGAUCUAUUGAGGGACACAGUGGUCAAAUAUUUAUGUUAAUGUUAGCCCAAGACCCAUAACUUGUUGCAAUAAUAAGCACAUUGUAAGUGUAUUGAGGAGACAGAGGUCAGAUGAUUAUGUCUGACUGUAAUCCAUGUGUUACACAUAUAUGUCAUGUUUUGCUAUGUUUUUUUACUAUUAUUAGUAUUUUAUUACAGUGCCAUACACACUGCGCCAAAACAUGACUGGUGCUGCAGGCACAGUGUAACUGACUGACUGCACUGUAUUGUAAGAAUUGUUUGCUCCCUCCUGCAUUUCAGAGCUAAAGAGGCAUGCUCUUUCUUAUGCAAAUAAAAUAUUUGUUUGUUUAAUGCACAACUUGUUUUCAUUGAAGUAUGCGUUUGUCUUAAAUUUAGAACAGUAUCACUAUUGUAGAGCUAACAUUAAGUUAAAAGCACUUGAAUUUAGAUUAGUUAUGAUACAAAAGCACUUCUUAUGAGUAAAACAAUGCAUAAUAUGAGUAUUUCCAGCUAACUUCAAGACAUUUUUUAUCCUAAAAUGCUUAAAUAAUCACUUUUUAAUCUUAUUUCAAGUUGGUGGUGGUCUAAAAUCUAGGACAAUGUCACUAUUUUAGAACUUUAAAUGAGUUAAAUACACUUGAAAUAAGAGGGAUGCCAUGAACAGUGAAAAAAUAAAAAGCUACUUUUGAGCAUUUCAAGCUUAUUAUGAUACACAACACUUUCUAAUACUAGUAAAAUAUAGCUCAAAAUAAGUUUACCUGGCUAAUUUCAAGAUCAAUUCCUAUCUCAAAAGUCCUAAAUAUUACAUCUUAUUUCAAGAAAUCUUGACAAGCCGAUUUUCACUAGUUCCAUUGGCAGAUUUUUUUGCUUAUUUCAAGCAAAAACGUCUCGUAUUUGUUGUUUUUUUACUUAUUUUUGGAGGGGCAUUUUUUCCAGUG
ensembl:lncRNA